GACGAACGCUGGCGGCGUGCUUAACACAUGCAAGUCGAGCGGUAAGGCCCUUUCGGGGGUACACGAGCGGCGAACGGGUGAGUAACACGUGGGUGACCUGCCCUCAGCUCUGGGAUAAGCCUGGGAAACCGGGUCUAAUACCGGAUAUGACUCCAUGACGCAUGUUGUGGGGUGGAAAGCCUUGUGCGGCUGAGGAUGGGCCCGCGGCCUAUCAGCUUGUUGGUGGGGUGAUGGCCUACCAAGGCGACGACGGGUAGCCGGCCUGAGAGGGCGACCGGCCACACUGGGACUGAGACACGGCCCAGACUCCUACGGGAGGCAGCAGUGGGGAAUAUUGGACAAUGGGCGAAAGCCUGAUCCAGCCAUGCCGCGUGAGUGAUGAAGGCCUUAGGGUUGUAAAGCUCUUUUACCCGGGAAGAUAAUGACGGUACCGGGAGAAUAAGCCCCGGCUAACUUCGUGCCAGCAGCCGCCGCAGUAAC
rnacentral:rRNA from 1 species